UACGAAGGGGGCUAGCGUUGUUCGGAAUUACUGGGCGUAAAGGGCGCGUAGGCGGCUAGUUUAGUCAGAGGUGAAAGCCCAGGGCUCAACCUUGGAAUUGCCUUUGAUACUGGCUAUCUUGAGUUCGGGAGAGGUGAGUGGAAUGCCGAGUGUAGAGGUGAAAUUCGUAGAUAUUCGGCGGAACACCAGUGGCGAAGGCGACUCACUGGCCCGAUACUGACGCUGAGGCGCGAAAGCGUGGGGAGCAAACAGG
rnacentral:rRNA from 1 species